UUAGAGGCCAGGAAAGGGCACUGGGUCGCCCUGGAACUGGAGUUACAAAUGAUAGGGAACAUGGAUGAUGGGGACAUUAUCCAGGACCCUCUGCAAAAGCAGCAACUGCUCUUAACUGCUGAUCCGUCUCAUCAGCCAUAAAGGAGAGUCAUUUUUGCUUGUUGGUUUGUUUUUUAGAGACAAGGAUUCUCCGUGUAGCCCUGGCUGUCCUGGAACUUGCUGUUUAGAGCAUGUUGGCUUCAAACUCAGAGAUCCACCAGUCUGCCUCCUGAGUACUGGGAUUAAAGAUGUGUGCCACCACUGCUCAGCUCAGAAGAAUCUUAAUGGAGAAUUAUGUAAAUCAGUGGUUCUCAACCUAUGGGUUCCAUCCCCUUUGGGGGACCAAAUGAACUUUUCCCAGAGGUGGCAUAAGACCAACAGAAAACACAAGUAUUCAUAUUCAGAUUCAUAACAAUAGUGUAAUUACAGUUAUGAAGUAGCAGUGAAAAUAAUCUUAUGGUUGAGGGUCACUACAACACAAGUAACUGCAUUAAAGGGUCACAGCAUUAGGAAGGCUGAGAACCAUCCAUCUAGAUCAUGGCAGUCUAUGAGCAUGCCUCUUGGGGGUUGUGCUGUUGGUUAAUUGAUGUGGGAAACCCCAUUACCAUUCUCUAGACAGGGGGCCUGAACAGUGUAAUAAAAGCAAUAAAAGAGUAUCAGUAAAAAAAAAAAAGUUGCAGAGUAUCAUUAUGAGCCAGGUGCUCAUACCUC
rnacentral:lncRNA from 1 species